GCGCGCCGCCUCAUUUCCGGUGCUCUCUCUCGCUGGGUCGCUCGGGUCGGCUUCGGUCGCUGCCGCUGCCGCUCUGCCGCCCCCGCCAACCGCCGCUCGGGCCUCCGUCGCUGCCGCGUCGCUUUCUCGCUCCUCGGAUCGCACAUCCUCCCAGAUGCAGCGCCGGGACGACCCCGCCGCGCGCAUGAGCCGGUCCUCGGGCCGUAGCGGCUCCAUGGACCCCUCCGGUGCCCACCCCUCGGUGCGUCAGACGCCGUCUCGGCAGCCGCCGCUGCCUCACCGGUCCCGGGGAGGCGGAGGGGGAUCCCGCGGGGGCGCCCGGGCCUCGCCCGCCACGCAGCCGCCACCGCUGCUGCCGCCCUCGGCCACGGGUCCCGACGCGACAGUGGGCGGGCCAGCGCCGACCCCGCUGCUGCCCCCUUCGGCCACAGCCUCGGUCAAGAUGGAGCCGGAGAACAAGUACCUGCCCGAACUCAUGGCCGAGAAGGACUCGCUUGACCCGUCCUUCACUCACGCCAUGCAGCUGCUGACGGCAGAAAUUGAGAAGAUUCAGAAAGGAGACUCAAAAAAGGAAGAUGAGGAGAAUUACUUGGAUUUAUUUUCUCAUAAGAACAUGAAACUGAAAGAGCGAGUGCUGAUACCUGUCAAGCAGUAUCCCAAGUUCAAUUUUGUGGGGAAGAUUCUUGGACCACAAGGGAAUACAAUCAAAAGACUGCAGGAAGAGACUGGUGCAAAGAUCUCUGUGUUGGGAAAGGGCUCAAUGAGAGACAAAGCCAAGGAGGAAGAGCUGCGCAAAGGUGGAGACCCCAAAUAUGCCCACUUGAAUAUGGAUCUGCAUGUCUUCAUUGAAGUCUUUGGACCCCCAUGUGAGGCUUAUGCUCUUAUGGCCCAUGCCAUGGAGGAAGUCAAGAAAUUUCUAGUACCGGAUAUGAUGGAUGAUAUCUGCCAGGAGCAGUUUCUAGAGCUGUCCUACUUGAAUGGAGUACCUGAACCCUCUCGUGGACGUGGGGUGCCAGUGAGAGGCCGGGGAGCCGCACCUCCUCCACCACCUGUUCCCAGGGGCCGUGGUGUUGGACCACCUCGGGGGGCUUUGGUACGUGGUACACCAGUAAGGGGAGCCAUCACCAGAGGUGCCACUGUGACUCGAGGCGUGCCACCCCCACCUACUGUGAGGGGCGCUCCAGCACCAAGAGCACGGACAGCGGGCAUCCAGAGGAUACCUUUGCCUCCACCUCCUGCACCAGAAACAUACGAAGAAUAUGGAUAUGAUGAUACAUAUGCAGAACAAAGUUAUGAAGGCUACGAAGGCUAUUACAGCCAGAGUCAAGGGGACUCAGAAUAUUAUGACUAUGGACAUGGGGAGGUUCAAGAUUCUUAUGAAGCUUAUGGUAUGUCUUUAUCUCUGUGGUGGGGCAGAAUGUACAAGUAAGUGCCCGGGAGGAUGCUGGUGACUAAAGUAUUGAGAGUCAGACAAACAUACCUACGGAUAAACCCUUAGAAGGCCAAGAUUUUGCUAGAUGUGACAGUGAGAGUUCUGCUCUUACUUAAAUUUUGCAGUACAUGGUAGAAAGAGGGUCUGCUAGAGUGAGGUGGGGUAUUGCUACUCUUGGAAGGGUAGUGUGUGUCUUAAACAAGGGCUCAAGACCAGCUUGGCCCUGUGGAGCAGCAGACUUAUAAGCUAAUGUUGAUUUUUUCCACUUUAGGCAGGGAAAUAGCUGGACCUGGGUUGUAUUUCUGGGCCUUUGCUGCCGAUAUCUAGGCCACUUUGGUAGAUAACAAGAACUUCAUCAUACACAACUGUACUCAUCUACCCCAUUUCAUUAAAGAAGUAAAUUUAGAUCUCAUUGAAAAGAAUGUCAUUGUAAAGGAAAUGUCAGCCAAAAGGGACCUAGAUGGCAGCCAGACCAGGUUGGGGGCAAGAACAGUGUCUAUUAGGGCCGGGCGUGGUGGCUCACACCUGUAAUCCCAACACUGUGGGAGGCCGAGGCAGGCUGGUCUCGAACUCCUGACCUUGUGAUCUGCCCGCCUUGGCCUCCCAAAGUGCUGGGAUUACAGGCGUGAGCCACCGUACCCAGCCUUGGAAUUAUCUUAAACAGUGCUGUCAGUGCAACAUUUGAUUGCACAUCCCUCUAUCAGAGAGAGCAGUAUCAGCUCUGCUGGUGGAGGGCCCCAUGGAAAGUGGCCCUUGCUUGCUUUUCCCAGAGAGCUAGAGGACACUUCUCCAUAAGGAAACAUGACUUGCUGUUGCAUGGAAGUGGGGCUGGCUGCCUGCUUCCAAUCAAAGACUUCCAGAAGUCCUCCCACCUUACCUGAGGCUACCUGCCAAAUUGUUUUGGGAACAGGAAAGGCCAUUGCAGACUCACUAAGAUUCAUGACUUCCUCACUAUCUCAAGCAACGUGUUGGGUAUCUCCAGGUUUGGGGACUGCAGUACAGAUCACAUUUGUCUAUGAAGAACCUCGUUGUGGGAGAUUACUCCAGAGUCAGUGGCAGCUUUUUUGGAUUUGUUCCCUUCUGUCUUUCCACUCAAAACUGAAAAACUGCCCAGGCUGCCCAACAGGGCCAAGCCAAGUAGAGAGCAAGGAACACCAGGGGAAGUGUCAAGGCAUUAGAAGAAACGCAGUGUUUUUGGUGAUCUUUACUAUGUGACCUAUCCCUGCUUAUCCCUAAGUGCCGUGGCCACAUGGUUUAUAAACUGUCUUUGUUUUCCCCACAGGCCAGGACGACUGGAAUGGGACCAGGCCGUCGCUGAAGGCCCCUCCUGCUAGGCCAGUGAAGGGAGCAUACAGAGAGCACCCAUAUGGACGUUAUUAAAACAAACAUGAGGGGAAAAUAUCAGUUAUGAGCAAAGUUGUUACUGAUUUCUUGUAUCUCCCAGGAUUCCUGUUGCUUUACCCACAGCAGACAAGUAAUUGUCUAAGUGUUUUUCUUCGUGGUCCCCUUCUUCUCCCCACCUUAUUCCAUUCUUAACUCUGCAUUCUGGCUUCUGUAUGUAGUAUUUUAAAAUGAGUUAAAAUAGAUUUAGGAAUAUUGAAUUAAUUUUUUAAGUGUGUAGAUGCUUUUUUCUUUGUUGUUUAAAUAUAAACAGAAGUGUACCUUUUAUAAUAAAAAAAAGAAGUUGAGUAAAAAAAAAACACACAAACCUGUUAGUUUCAAAAAUGACAUUGCUUGCUUAAAGGUUCUGAAGUAAAGGCUUGUUAAGUUUCUCUUAGUUUUGAUUUGAGGCAUCCCGUAAAGUUGUAGUUGCAGAAUCCCAAACUAGGCUACAUUUCAAAAUUCAGGGCUGUUUAAGAUUUAAAAUCACAAACAUUAACGGCAGUAGGCACCACCAUGUAAAAGUGAGCUCAGACGUCUCUAAAAAAUGUUUCCUUUAUAAAAGCACAUGGCGGUUGAAUCUUAAGGUUAAAUUUUAAUAUGAAAGAUCCUCAUGAAUUAAAUAGUUGAUGCAAUUUUUAACGUUAAUUGAUAUAAAACAACAACAACAACAAAAUUAGGCUUGUAAAACUGACUUUUUCAUUACGUGGGUUUUGAAAUCUAGCCCCAGACAUACUGUGUUGAGAGAUACUUAGGGGGGAGGGAGUAGGUUUUGAAGAGGUUGAUGGUGGUGGGGGGGGGAAGGCCUCCUGAAUUGAGUUUGAUGCAGAGCUUUUUAGCCAUGAAGAAUCUUUCAGUCAUAGUACUAAUAAUUAAGUUUUUCAGUAUUUAAAAAGACAAAGUAUUUUGUCCAUUUGAGAUUCUGCACUCCAUGAAAAGCUCACUUGGACGCUGGGGCCAAAAGCUGAUGAUUUUCUUAAGUUGACGGUUGUCAAUAUAUCGACUGUUCCCGAGUUAGUCAAGUAUGUCUCAACACUAGCAUGAUAUAAAAAGGGACACUGCAGCUGAAUGAAAAAGGAAUCAAAAUCCACUUUGUACAUAAGUUAAAGUCCUAAUUGGAUUUGUACCGUCCUCCCAUUUUGUUCUCGGAAGAUUAAAUGCUACAUGUGUAAGUCUGCCUAAAUAGGUAGCUUAAACUUAUGUCAAAAUGUCUGCAGCAGUUUGUCAAUAAAGUUUAGUCCUUUUUUAAUCAAA